rnacentral:lncRNA from 1 species
UGCACUCCUUGCGUUGAGUUAGUUACUAUGAUUCACCUUCUCAAUGCCAUCGAACUUCUGGAAUGCAAGAAGUUUUCCCCCAACUUGGAGUAAUUCUCUCAUAGGUUUGGUCGCCUCUGGGAUUGUACCGUCUUCUCCAUCAACCCUGCCGCCUACUCCACUGAGUAGCAAAGGUACAGCACCGCGUACUGCCUGCUUCGUUCCUUGGUUAUGCACUCUUGCAUGACCCGAAGUCCUUCACUUUCGGCAAUCUUGAUGAGAAACUUGUUGACACCGGUCUUACGAAGUUUCUUGGCCUCUGCCCUUCAGCCUUGUCUCGGUACUUGGAGAUUGCCUCUGCAUGCUCCACCUCCUCGGCCCCUUUCACGACCAAGCGCUCUCCCUCCAUGAGAGCAAGGGAUCAAUGACUUUCACGGAAGUCCCGCCUCUGCGGUACCAUGGCGCUGCCAUGCCCAUGGCUCUACUAUCCGUCACCUCGCAUUUGUAUCCCUUUUCUUCACGAUCAGUAGAUAUGUCUCCGUGGCACUCCUCUGAGUCCACCUCCAUUCUAACUGAUGCUUGAUUUUGGGUAGCUAAGUCCCUCUGGACUUGUCGUCGCUUCCUCACCCCUUUCGACC